rnacentral:rRNA from 1 species
UACAGAGGUCUCAAGCGUUGUUCGGAUUCAUUGGGCGUAAAGGGUGCGUAGGCGGCGCGGUAAGUCGGGGUGUGAAAUCUCGGAGCUUAACUCCGAAACUGCAUUCGAUACUGCCGUGCUUGAGGACUGGAGAGGAGACUGGAAUUCACGGUGUAGCAGUGAAAUGCGUAGAUAUCGUGAGGAACACCAGAGGCGAAGGCGGCUACCUGGACAAUUGCUGACGCUCAGGCACGAAAGC